GGCCUCCCUCUAGCUGCCAUCUUGCGUCCCCGCGUGUGUGCUCCUAAUCUCAGCUGGUCCGCCCGAGACCCCCUGAGCGCCAACCCUAUUCCCCCGCGCGGUCCCAUUUCCGCUCCAACAAGAUGAAAGAAACUAUCAUGAACCAGGAGAAACUCGCCAAACUGCAAGCACAAGUGCGCAUUGGUGGGAAAGGAACUGCUCGCCGAAAGAAGAAGGUGGUUCAUAGAACGGCUACAGCAGAUGAUAAAAAACUUCAGUUCUCCUUAAAGAAGUUAGGGGUAAACAAUAUCUCUGGUAUUGAAGAAGUGAAUAUGUUCACAAACCAAGGAACAGUGAUCCACUUUAACAACCCCAAAGUUCAGGCAUCACUGGCAGCGAACACUUUCACCAUUACAGGCCAUGCUGAGCAAAGCAGCUGACAGAAAUGCUACCCAGUAUCUUAAACCAACUUGGUGCAGACAGUCUGACUAGUUUGAGAAGACUGGCUGAAGCUCUGCCCAAACAAUCUGUGGAUAGAAAAGCACCACUUGCUACCAGAGAGGAUGAUGAUGAUGAAGUUCCAGAUCUUGUGGAGAAUUUUGAUGAAGCUUUCAAGAAUGAAGCAAACUGA